UACGGAGGGUGCGAGCGUUGUCCGGAAUCAUUGGGCGUAAAGAGCUCGUAGGCGGUGUGUCGCGUCGGCCGUGAAAACCUGCAGCUUAACUGUGGGCUUGCGGUCGAUACGGGCAUCACUGGAGUUCGGCAGGGGAGACUGGAAUUCCUGGUGUAGCGGUGAAAUGCGCAGAUAUCAGGAGGAACACCGGUGGCGAAGGCGGAUCUCUGGGCCAUUACUGACACUGAGGAGCGAAAGCGUGGGGAGCGAACAGG
rnacentral:rRNA from 1 species